rnacentral:lncRNA from 10 species
GAGUGGUACCUAAAGUGAUGCACGUCACCAUACAUCUAUCAAGUGUAAUAAGGUAAUCAAGUUGGAAGGAACCUGAGACAUCAUUUGAUCCAACCCAAUCAUCUAAUAGAUCAGAAGACUGAACUCAAAACUGACUCACCCAAGUAACUCACGAAGGUGGUGCAGAAACGGAACCAGCCAACGUGACUCCCAGUGUCCUCAUAUCUGAAUCACCCAGACUAGACUGGAGCAGACAGGCUUUACUCAGGGCAAAGAUACUGCAAGAGAAAAAGUAUGCUUGUGAUGAAAGGAGGCAGUCCCAGUCGCCAUGAGCAGCAGACUUAAAGUAGUCUUCUGGAAAUUUUGACAAAAUAGCUCUUUUUUGAAUAGGCUAUCAUCCUGAGGAUUUGUCAUCUAUUGGAACAGGCAGGGUAAAUCAUAGGCAGUGCACAGUGAGUGAUCUGACCACUAGCUAGACUUUUAGAUAAACAGAAUAGGUGUAUUAGUUAGGGUUUUCCAGAGGGACAGGACUUAUAGGGUAUACGUAUAUAUGAAAGGGAGUCUAUUAUGGAGAAACAGCUCACAAAAUCACAAGGUGAAGUCCCAUGAUAGGCUGUCCAGAAGCUGAGGAAGAAAGCAGCCAGUAGUGGCUCGGCCCAGGUCCAAAAGCCUCAAAAGCAGGGAAGCUGACAGUGCAGCCUUCAGUCUGUGGCUUAAGGCCAAAAGCCCUUGGCAAUACACUGGUGUAAGCCCAAGAGUCCAAAACAGAAGAACCUCGAGUCUGAUAUCCAAGGGCAGGAGGAACGAGAGGAAGCAUUCAGCAUGUGAGAAAGAUAAAAGCCAGAAGACUCAGCAAGCCAAUGUAUCCCACAUUCUUACACUUGUUUUAUUCUAGCCACUCUGGCACCUGAAUGGAUGGUGCCCACCCACAAUGAGGGUGGGUCUUCCUCUCCCAGUCCACUGACUCAAAUGUGAAUCUCCUCUGGCAACACCUUCACAGACACAACCAGAAACAAUGCUUGAGCAGCUAUCUAGGCAUCCUGCAAACCAAUCAAGUUGACACCUAAUACUAACCAUCACAAUAGGGGUUGCCAAAACAACAAAUGAAAAGUGGAACUUUAGGUCUUUCCCUAGAAGACCCUCCACUUCAAAACCCUGAUUAGGAAGCUGCAUUCAAGGGAUUGUACUUGGCAUGCAAGCAUUAGGAAACACAGGACUGGAGGAUGUCCCAUUGUCUGUCAGGUACUGAGGCACAUUUUAGCUUUCCCAACUCAAUAUCCCUGAAAACAAAGUCUUAAUGGCCUUUCUUGUUUCCCCUAAAUAUUUAUCUUCAAGAAUGUUACAAGAGGCAGGCCUCUGGAAAGCCACAGUAUCUCUGAUUCAAUGAAUUGUUUCUGGGAGAGUUUCAAGGACAAAAAUGAUGACAGGCAGGGUCAGGAGGGAGUCAUCUUCUGGCAAAGCAGAGCAGCAGGAGCUGGGAACAAGCAUCUAGAAGUUAUUGGAAGCAUAAUAUGUUUCCCCUCUCACAUCCUUCCAAAGUCUUCAUACAUAUCAGUAAUCUCUCACCGACCCUCAGCAGCCCGUUUAAAGCCAAGAGGCAGCAGGGGAGAGCAGCACAUAUGUUCCGCUAUUAAUAUCUAAUUAAUUGACACAAGUGCAACCCAAGGAGCAUAACUUCUAGAUGCAGAGACGGCAGCACAAAAGUGACAGCAAAGUGUCAUCUCUAACCAUGCCCUUAUUGGUAUAGAGAAUCUCCUGGCGUGUCCAACAAAUAUUUUUGAAAGGAGCCUGGGGCUUUGUGGGUUGCUGAGACUUCAUGAUUCACAGAUGCAAAGACCUUCAGGUUCUCUCUUACAGAAUUAAAUCCCACUCUUGAGAAUGCACAAAAGAAAAUCAACAGUGCCAACAGAACAGAGCAUCCAGUGCCAUUUGUUCUAUGCUUCAUUAUUCAUCUUCUUACCCUACAGUAGGGUUUAACCUGAAAAAUGGCCUGGCAUUAUUGAUGUUGAUAUAUCCAAGUGUUCUUGCCAAUAUUCCAGCUUGGAUCAGAGUAGUGGAAGGAAGCAGAGUUGAUAAAUGGUAAAUUAAUGAAUCCUGAUUUGCUAUAUGUUUAUAUGUGUGAUUGGCUUUUUAAGUUUUUUUUCAGAAGCACUCUCAGUAAGUUAUUGCCUUCUGCUGGACAGAAGGGAGCCAAUUGCUCAUGGGUGCUGGGGGAGGAUGGAAAGGAGAGAUUGCACUGGGAAGGAAUGAGAAUGACUCAGUCCACCCACACGCCUCUGAAGUACUGGAAAUAGUAUCUUCUGAAACCAAGGGUCAGGCUGCUACUGAUGCUUCAAAAAGUUUCCUAAGCCUUUUUCAAGUUGCCAAAUUCACUCAGGUUUAUGCAUUUUAAGGUCAUGCUUUAACAACCUAAAAAGCUCAAUGGCUAACACUUGUUUCUAAUUCCCGAACGAUUUCUGUUGAAAGUCCAUUUUAUUUUAAUUAAUUUUACUAGCUAUAUUAUAGAGGCAACAGACUGACAAGACCGG